rnacentral:rRNA from 1 species
CCUACGGGAGGCAGCAGUAAGGAAUAUUGGACAAUGGACGCAAGUCUGAUCCAGCCAUGCCGCGUGAAGGAUUAAGGCCCUCUGGGUUGUAAACUUCUUUUAUAGGGGACGAAAAAAGGGCUUUCUAGCUCGACUGACGGUACCCUAUGAAUAAGCACCGGCUAACUCCGUGCCAGCAGCCGCGGUAAUACGGAGGGUGCAAGCGUUAUCCGGAUUCACUGGGUUUAAAGGGUGCGUAGGCGGGCAUUUAAGUCAGUGGUGAAAUCUUCGAGCUCAACUCGGAAACUGCCAUUGAUACUAUUUGUCUUGAAUAUUGUAGAGGUGAGCGGAAUAUGUCAUGUAGCGGUGAAAUGCUUAGAUAUGACAUAGAACACCGAUUGCGAAGGCAGCUCGCUACACAAAUAUUGACGCUGAGGCACGAAAGCGUGGGGAUCAAACAGGAUUAGAUACCCUGGUAGUCCACGCCCUAAACUAUGGAUACUCGACAUUUGCGAUACACAGUAAGUGUCUGAGCGAAAAGCAUUAAGUAUCCACCUGGAAGUACGACCGCAAGGUUGAAACUCAAAGGAAUUGACGGCGNGAGAGNGCGAGACGACGACGAGGGAGGAG